GGGCGCCCAGCGCGUCUGUGGUGCCCCCCAGGGGCUCCUCCCCCAGGCACCAGCGCGGCCGUAAGCUCGGAAAGAUCGCGUCUGGGGGAGUAAAAGUGAUUUUUCACACCUCGGCUCCGACCGCUAUUGAAACGUGUCCGAGAUGCUAACGUCUUCUCGCGAAGAAAUUGAACGUGUUAAGAAAACAGGCAGAUUUGCCUCCAGAUUUCCUCACUGAAGAAUCACACUUCUGGGAUCUUCAGAGAAAGGCACGUGACAUUUGUGCUCCUGUGCUACUUCUGAGUCAACCUCUUCCACUUCCCAAUGAAUAAUUCAGUGCUAAUCCUAAGAUUUGGUGUGCUUACGCAUCUGAAGGUUCUUUUUUUAAACCUGGAGACAGUGCAUGCAAUGGCACAUCUGAGUGAUUUUGGUCCCCAGCAUCUUACUGUGGUGUUGGCUUCAGCUCUUCAUUCUGUUAUUCAGAGAAGGAAAAAAAAAAAAAAAAAAAAGAAACCUAAGCAAAGUACAUUGUUUGCAACACCUAUUUUUCCAUUUUGUAGUCUCUGAGUAUGCACUGGAAGAAACUCUCCCUUCUUUGGGCUGAAUGGAAUUACUGAUUCUCCAAGAACAAGACAAGGAUACAAAGAGCAGUGUAGGAACACCUCAGGAUUCUCUGGAGUUGCUUUGUGUAUUACUCAGUGCCAAAGUUACAGUGGACACAGCAGAGGUGAAUGGGAGGUGCUGCUCUGUGAUCCCAGAAGUUAAGCAGGGCUGUACAACGCACAUCCACCCAGCACACACCAUAGAAGCACUUCUGCUAUGACUUGCUAGUAGCAGGUGUCAACCACGUACAAAGAGAGUAAAUUACAUCCAGAAUAACUGAAAUUCUGACAGCCACGAUUUCCCAUUUAUUACCCCAUCUCAUGGAAAGUUCUGCUUUUGGAAGAAAAUCAGAACAUUAACAAGUGUGCAGAAAUACAUCCUCAGCUGCAGGAAAUUCCAGGUCCCAGGCUUUUUUAUUUUGAAAGAAACAUUGGAAUGAUGUCUUCAAAUACCACUUUCUGAUCUGUGUGCAGGAGAAAAGCCGCAUGCCAGAGGCAGCAGUAAAUACUGAGGCUUUGCCAGCUCCGUAUCACGCAGGUGAACAAAUCUCUAAAGCAUGUUCUUGUGUACAGAGUGCUGGCAGACCCUGGGUGGCUCUACAUGCCCUGAUCUGUUUGGCUCUAACACACAACGAUCCAAAAAAGUCCCGAUGCUGAGAAUGGUGCUCCUAAUCCUCGCCGCCAGGCACCUUACCCACUGCUUCUCCCUUUGUGCAACCAGCAGAGCGUUUGCAAAAUGACCGACGCGUCUGUUGUGGAGACUUGACAGGUUAGACAGCAAUUGUGCAGCAACAGUAAUUAGAGGCCUACUUGUAAAAUACGUACGUGCAGCUAUAAGGAUGUUAGAAGGAAUGUCUGUGAAUUAAGCUAUCGUGACCAGAAAUAAGGAAAAACAAUGCAGGGCUGAUUUCACUGGUAACAAUUACCUAUGAAAAGGAUAGGAAGGGAAAAUGGGAGCACAUUCCGGGCAGAGUUGCCCGAAGAUAGGAGUAAUGACGGAUGCAGCACUCUGCAGUCUACUGAUCAUUCCCUAUUGUUCUCAGAUUGGUACAAACACAAAGCAAGGCCAAGCUGGUUUGUCAUCAGUGUCAUUAUAUCCUGUGUCAAAAAGGCACCUUUUCCAUUGAGAUUCUUCUGUUCUGCAUCCAGUUGGAUUAUUUAGCUGCAAGAACAGGGGACAAAUCCUUAAGGUAUGAGCGUUUUUCUUAUUCAUUUAUAUAUGCUAAUUGAAUUAAAUACAUUUUUUUAGCUGAUUUACUGCGACGACUUUCUUUCUAUAUUGACAUUAAAUUGAAAUGACAACUCCAAGACCAACAACAGAAUUAGAAGUGAAGACAAAAAUUCAACUUGGAACAUUAGAGACAUCCAGAGACAUGAACAAGAAUUUUGCUGGAUUUCCAGCAGAAAUAAGGAAUAUCAAGGGAAAAUUCAUCCAUACACGUUAUUGUGGAACAUCCAAGACAUCCAGAGACAUGAACAAGGAUUUCACUGCAAUUCCAGGAGCACAAUUUGAUUUUCUGUCAUAUUUAAGAGGCAUAGCUCAAGAGUUUUAGUAUGUCCACAUCCCAUCAUUGCUUGGCAUGUUCAAAAUAGGCCUUCAGUACCAGUAUUUGGAAUGCUACUAGCUCCAAAAAAAAAACCCCUUUUAACGUAUUCACUAUUAAAACUGCUUCAUCACCUUUUAGAAAGGAAAACUCUCGCUCUCUGCCCUUGUAUGUCCUUUGCUGAAAGAUUCAAAUCAAUAAGGUAGGAAACCAUACUUACAUGUCCUAAUCUCUCUUCCUCUUUCUUGCAAGCUAAAUGCAGAGCCUGUUUGGCAUGAGAGCACACACAAGCAGGAAUGCGGGCUGGUGGUGACGUUUCCAGAUCUGUGUGUUGCUUGCAACAGCUCACGGGUGGAUUUCUGGAUCGCAGCGUUUGUUUCUCAAAAGACAAUUUCAGAUAUUUAGAAUCACACUCAAUAAACAUUUGGAAUGUGGUACGUUU